UACGUAGGGUCCGAGCGUUGUCCGGAAUUAUUGGGCGUAAAGAGCUCGUAGGCGGUUUGUCGCGUCUGCUGUGAAAUCCCGAGGCUUAACCUCGGGCCUGCGGUGGAUACGGGCAGACUAGAGGUAGGUAGGGGAGAAUGGAAUUCCCGGUGUAGCGGUGAAAUGCGCAGAUAUCGGGAGGAACACCGGUGGCGAAGGCGGUUCUCUGGGCCUUACCUGACGCUGAGGAGCGAAAGCGUGGGGAGCGAACAGG
rnacentral:rRNA from 1 species